CUCAGUUCGGAUUGGAGUCUGCAACCCGACUCCAUGAAGCUGGAUUCGCUAGUAAUCGCGCAUCAGCCACGGCGCGGUGAAUACGUUCCCGGGCCUUGUACACACCGCCCGUCAAGCCAUGGAAGCCGGGAGUACCUGAAGAUCGUGACCGCGAGGAACGGGCUAGGGUAAUACCGGUAACUGGGGCUAAGUCGUAACAAGGUAGC
rnacentral:rRNA from 1 species